rnacentral:rRNA from 1 species
UUUAUGGAGAGUUUGAUCCUGGCUCAGGAUGAACGCUGGCGGCGUGCCUAAUACAUGCAAGUCGAGCGAACGGACGAGAAGCUUGCUUCUCUGAUGUUAGCGGCGGACGGGUGAGUAACACGUGGAUAACCUACCUAUAAGACUGGGAUAACUUCGGGAAACCGGAGCUAAUACCGGAUAAUAUUUUGAACCGCAUGGUUCAAAAGUGAAAGACGGUCUUGCUGUCACUUAUAGAUGGAUCCGCGCUGCAUUAGCUAGUUGGUAAGGUAACGGCUUACCAAGGCAACGAUGCAUAGCCGACCUGAGAGGGUGAUCGGCCACACUGGAACUGAGACACGGUCCAGACUCCUACGGGAGGCAGCAGUAGGGAAUCUUCCGCAAUGGGCGAAAGCCUGACGGAGCAACGCCGCGUGAGUGAUGAAGGUCUUCGGAUCGUAAAACUCUGUUAUUAGGGAAGAACAUAUGUGUAAGUAACUGUGCACAUCUUGACGGUACCUAAUCAGAAAGCCACGGCUAACUACGUGCCAGCAGCCGCGGUAAUACGUAGGUGGCAAGCGUUAUCCGGAAUUAUUGGGCGUAAAGCGCGCGUAGGCGGUUUUUUAAGUCUGAUGUGAAAGCCCACGGCUCAACCGUGGAGGGUCAUUGGAAACUGGAAAACUUGAGUGCAGAAGAGGAAAGUGGAAUUCCAUGUGUAGCGGUGAAAUGCGCAGAGAUAUGGAGGAACACCAGUGGCGAAGGCGACUUUCUGGUCUGUAACUGACGCUGAUGUGCGAAAGCGUGGGGAUCAAACAGGAUUAGAUACCCUGGUAGUCCACGCCGUAAACGAUGAGUGCUAAGUGUUAGGGGGUUUCCGCCCCUUAGUGCUGCAGCUAACGCAUUAAGCACUCCGCCUGGGGAGUACGACCGCAAGGUUGAAACUCAAAGGAAUUGACGGGGACCCGCACAAGCGGUGGAGCAUGUGGUUUAAUUCGAAGCAACGCGAAGAACCUUACCAAAUCUUGACAUCCUUUGACAACUCUAGAGAUAGAGCCUUCCCCUUCGGGGGACAAAGUGACAGGUGGUGCAUGGUUGUCGUCAGCUCGUGUCGUGAGAUGUUGGGUUAAGUCCCGCAACGAGCGCAACCCUUAAGCUUAGUUGCCAUCAUUAAGUUGGGCACUCUAAGUUGACUGCCGGUGACAAACCGGAGGAAGGUGGGGAUGACGUCAAAUCAUCAUGCCCCUUAUGAUUUGGGCUACACACGUGCUACAAUGGACAAUACAAAGGGCAGCGAAACCGCGAGGUCAAGCAAAUCCCAUAAAGUUGUUCUCAGUUCGGAUUGUAGUCUGCAACUCGACUACAUGAAGCUGGAAUCGCUAGUAAUCGUAGAUCAGCAUGCUACGGUGAAUACGUUCCCGGGUCUUGUACACACCGCCCGUCACACCACGAGAGUUUGUAACACCCGAAGCCGGUGGAGUAACCUUUUAGGAGCUAGCCGUCGAAGGUGGGACAAAUGAUUGGGGUGAAGUCGUAACAAGGUAGCCGUAUCGGAAGGUGCGGCUGGAUCACCUC